AACGAACGCUGGCGGCAGGCUUAACACAUGCAAGUCGAGCGCGUAGCAAUACGAGCGGCAGACGGGUGAGUAACGCGUGGGAAUCUACCCAUCUCUACGGAACAACUCCGGGAAACUGGAGCUAAUACCGUAUACGUCCUUCGGGAGAAAGAUUUAUCGGAGAUGGAUGAGCCCGCGUUGGAUUAGCUAGUUGGUGGGGUAAUGGCCUACCAAGGCGACGAUCCAUAGCUGGUCUGAGAGGAUGAUCAGCCACAUUGGGACUGAGACACGGCCCAAACUCCUACGGGAGGCAGCAGUGGGGAAUAUUGGACAAUGGGCGCAAGCCUGAUCCAGCCAUGCCGCGUGAGUGAUGAAGGCUCUAGGGUUGUAAAGCUCUUUCAACGGUGAAGAUAAUGACGGUAACCGUAGAAGAAGCCCCGGCUAACUUCGUGCCAGCCGCCGCUGUAACAC
rnacentral:rRNA from 1 species